rnacentral:hammerhead_ribozyme from 1 species
AUCCAACUGACGAGUCCCAAAUAGGACGAGACUCGCAUCAAACUGGAU